rnacentral:rRNA from 1 species
CCCUUCGGGGUUGAGUGGCGGACGGGUGAGUAACGCGUGAGAAUCUGCCUUCAGGUCGGGGACAACCACUGGAAACGGUGGCUAAUACCCGAUGUGCGCAACGUGAAAGAUUUAUCGCCUGAAGAGGAGCUCGCGUCUGAUUAGCUAGUUGGUGGGGUAAAAGCUCACCAAGGCGACGAUCAGUAGCUGGUCUGAGAGGAUGAUCAGCCACACUGGGACUGAGACACGGCCCAGACUCCUACGGGAGGCAGCAGUGGGGAAUUUUCCGCAAUGGGCGAAAGCCUGACGGAGCAAGACCGCGUGAGGGAGGAAGGCUCUUGGGUUGUAAACCUCUUUUCUCAGGGAAGAACACAAUGACGGUACCUGAGGAAUCAGCCUCGGCUAACUCCGUGCCAGCAGCCGCGGUAAUACGGAGGAGGCAAGCGUUAUCCGGAAUUAUUGGGCGUAAAGCGUCCGCAGGUGGCACUUCAAGUCUGUCGUCAAAGACUGGGGCUUAACCCUGGAAAGGCGGUGGAAACUGAAGCGCUAGAGUGUGGUAGGGGUAGAGGGAAUUCCCGGUGUAGCGGUGAAAUGCGUAGAGAUCGGGAAGAACAUCGGUGGCGAAGGCGCUCUACUGGACCACAACUGACACUCAGGGACGA